AAACAGCCCCCUAUGUUUUGAUUCUUUGGCAGUUUUGGACCCCCAGUCCAUUAGUGAGGUGCCACGUGUAUUAUUUAGGGGGCCACNCAUUAGUGAGGUGCCACGUGUAUUAUUUAGGGGGCCACGUGGCACCUCACUAAUGGACUGGGGGUCCAAAACUGCCAAAGAAUCAAAACAUAGAGGGCUGUUU
rfam:Medicago truncatula strain A17 chromosome 4, whole genome shotgun sequence.